rnacentral:other from 1 species
GAGUCCCUGCAGGGUGCGUGAUGAGUCAAUCUAACGCUUGAACCGUAUUUCUUACUUGGGUGCUCGCGUCUCCAACGCCGCGUGCACGCCUUCGUCCCGCUCCGCGGGAUAUAGAAGGUAGCCAAAACGGCACGAGUAGAGCGCCCCCCUGUUUUUUACGGGUUCAAGUAAGAAUUCUCACACGGCUCAGGCGGGGUUCUC